UACUUGCUGACGACGGCGCACGGGUGAGUACGCGUAUGCAACCUACCUUUGACUGGAGAAUAGCGCGAAGAGAGUCGGAUUAAUGCUCCAUGAGACCACAAUACCGCAUGAUAUAGUGGUAAAAGCUCAGGCGUGUCAAGAUGGGCAUGCGUGCCAUUAGUUAGUUGGUGAGGUUACGGCUCACCAAGACAACGAUGGCUAGGGGGUCUGAGAGGAUGAUCCCCCACACUGGUACUGAGACACGGACCAGACUCCUACGGGAGGCAGCAGUGAGGAAUAUUGGUCAAUGGACGCAAGUCUGAACCAGCCAUGCCGCGUGCAGGAUGAAUGCCCUAUGGGUUGUAAACUGCUUUUCUACAAGAAGAAACUUCCUGAUGUAUCAGGAACUGACGGUAUUGUAGGAAUAAGCAUCGGCUAACUCCGUGCCAGCAGCCGCGGUAAUACGGAGGAUGCAAGCGUUAUCCGGAUUCAUUGGGUUUAAAGGGUGCGUAGGCGGGGUAGUAAGUCAGUGGUGAAAGCCUGCGGCUUAACCGUAGAAUUGCCAUUGAUACUGCUAUUCUUGAGUGCAGUUGAGGUAGGCGGAAUGUGUAAUGUAGCGGUGAAAUGCUUAGAUAUUACACAGAACACCGAUUGCGUAAGCAGAUUACUAAACUGUAACUGACGCUGAGGCACGAAAGCGUGGGGAGCGAACAGGAUUAGAUACCCUGGUAGUCCACGCUGUAAACUAUGAUCGACUCGCUGUUGGCGAUACAUUGUCAGCGGCUGAGCGAAAGCAUUAAGUGAUCCACCUGGGGGAAUACGGCCGCAAGGUUGAAACUCAAAGGAAUUGACGGGGGCCCGCACAAGCGGUGGAACAUGUGGUUUAAUUCGAUGAUACGCGAGGAACCUAACCUGGGCUUAAAUGCAGAACGACGUACCGGGAAACUGGUACUCCAUUCGGGGCGGACUGCAAGGUGCUGCAUGGUUGUCGUCAGCUCAUGCCGUGAGGUGUCGGGUUAAGUCCCAUAACGAGCGCAACCCUCAUUGUUAGUUGCCAGCGAGUAACGUCGGCCACUCUAACGAAACGGCCGGUGUCACCCGUGCGCAAGGUGGGGAUGACGUCAAAUCAGCACGGCCCUUAUGUCCAGGGCUACACACGUGUUACAAUGGCCAGUACAAAGGGCAGCUACCACGCGAGUGGAUGCUAAUCUCUAAAGCUGGUCUCAGUUCGGAUUGAAGUCUGCAACUCGACUUCAUG
rnacentral:rRNA from 1 species